rnacentral:rRNA from 1 species
GUCGAGGAUCUUCGGCAAUGGGCGCAAGCCUGACCGAGCGACGCCGCGUGUGCGAAGAAGGCCUUCGGGUUGUAAAGCACUGUCGAGGGGAAGAAAGACUCGAAAGAGUUUGAUCGACCCCUGGAGGAAGCACGGGCUAAGUUCGUGCCAGCAGCCGCGGUAAGACGAACCGUGCGAACGUUGUUCGGAAUCACUGGGCUUAAAGGGCGCGUAGGCGGGCUGUCAAGUCGGUGGUGAAAUCUUUCGGCUCAACCGGAAAAUCGCCUUCGAUACUGGCGGCCUUGAGGGGGGUAGGGGCAUGCGGAACUUCCGGUGGAGCGGUGAAAUGCGUAGAUAUCGGAAGGAACACCGAUGGCGAAAGCAGCGUGCUGGACCCUUUCUGACGCUGAGGCGCGAAAGCCAGGGGAGCAAACGGGAUUAGAAACCCCGGUAGUCC